CGCUGCAAACAACAACGGAUCCGACGCCGACAAGCUUUUCUUUUGCAAGUUCGAGUUCUCGCAGUCCCAGCCAUUCGGCGUCAACGCGCUUCCUCACAUCCGCCUCGUGGGUCCUUCCACGGCUAAUCUCCGGGAUGAAUCCCGUCAGAUGGACCGAGGGAAUUACUCUCGUGUUUAUUGUCGUACUCGCACUUCUCGUCAAGCCCUCUUCGGCGAUAUACUGUGGCGAAGACGAUUGCUAUGAUCUUCUUGGCGUGACACAGAGUGCGAAUUCUUCGGAGAUCAAGAAAGCUUACUACAAGCUCUCUCUGAAACAUCACCCAGAUAAGAAUCCGGAUCCGGAACCGAU